CCUCUCUCCCCCCCCUCCCCCCACAGGAGGGACGCAGCGAAGGGCCGGGACCGCCCCGGAGGGAGGGGCACACCGCCAUCGUCCCCGAGUCCAUCGGCCCCAUGGAAACCCCCCAAGCUGCCGCCCCCCCCAACAGAGAGGAGGAAGAGGAAGCGGAAGCGGAAGUGCCCCCCCGCCCCUCCCCCAUCUGCUCCAGCUGCUGACCCCCUCCCCCCCACUUUGGGGGUGUCCCCCCCC